rnacentral:rRNA from 1 species
GUCGAGAAUUUUUCACAAUGGGCGAAAGCCUGAUGGAGCGACGCCGCGUGGGGGAUGAAUGGCUUCGGCCCGUAAACCCCUGUCAUUCGCGAGCAAUGCCUUCCCGAUAAUACCGGGACGGUUGAUCGUAGCGAAAGAGGAAGGGACGGCUAACUCUGUGCCAGCAGCCGCGGUAAUACAGAGGUCCCAAGCGUUGUUCGGAUUCACUGGGCGUAAAGGGUGCGUAGGUGGUGAGGUAAGUUCGAUGUGAAAUCUCCGGGCUCAACCCGGAAAAGGCAUUGAAUACUAUCUUGCUCGAGGUUUGGAGGGGGGACUGGAAUUCUCGGUGUAGCAGUGAAAUGCGUAGAUAUCGAGAGGAACACCGGUGGCGAAGGCGAGUCCCUGGACAACACCUGACACUGAGGCACGAAAGCUAGGGGAGCAAACAGGAUUAGAAACCCCAGUAGUCC